GGAUCCGUGGCUAAUGUGUUGCAGCAGGCUACCGUCCAGACGGUGACCAACUCGCAAUGCAGAAGAAGCUACCCGCAACUCAUCAGCAGCAUGCUCUGCGCCGCUGCACCCGGAAAAGACACCUGUCAGGGAGACAGCGGUGGUCCAAUUUUUAUCCGAUCCUCAUCAGGAUCCCCUUGGACUCAAGUUGGAAUCGUCAGCUACGGUGCCGGGUGUGCUGACCCCAAUUUCCCUGGCGUCUACACUAGGGUGACGUCAUUCAGGACUUGGAUCACGGCAUACACCAAUGUCUGAGAAAAUCGCAUCAAACUUUUCUUAACUUGGACUCAACAAGGAAACGCAACAACAACAAAAAAAAAGCGAGAGAUAGUGGGGGGGGUGGGAUUACGUAAGGUACCUAAACAUUCUUUUACUUGACUAAACUAACUCUGAUGUUUUCAAAACCGAAAAACCGAUUUGUGAACCCAUUUUUUCAACUAAACUAGAAAUAAUCCGAAUAAUACCGCAAAUACACGUAAACCAGCAA